ACGCUGGCGGCAUGCCUAACACAUGCAAGUCGAACGAAUUACCUUCGGGUAGUUAGUGGCGCACGGGCGCGUAACGCGUGGGAAUCUACCCCUUGGUUCGGAAUAACAGUUGGAAACGACUGCUAAUACCGGAUGAUGACGUAAGUCCAAAGAUUUAUCGCCGAGGGAUGAGCCCGCGUAGGAUCAGGUAGUUGGUGUGGUAAAGGCGCACCAAGCCGACGAUCCUUAGCUGGUCUGAGAGGAUGAUCAGCCACACUGGGACUGAGACACGGCCCAGACUCCUACGGGAGGGCAGCAGUGGGGAAUAUUGGACAAUGGGCGAAAGCCUGAUCCAGCAAUGCCGCGUGAGUGAUGAAGGCCUUAGGGUUGUAAAGCUCUUCUACCCGGGAUGAUAAUGACAGUACCGGGAGAAUAAGCUCCGGCUAACUCCGUGCCAGCAGCCGCGGUAAUACGGAGGGAGCUAGCGUUAUUCGGAAUUACUGGGCGUAAAGCGCACGUAGGCGGCUUUGUAAGUAAGAGGUGAAAGCCCAGAGCUCAACUCUGGAAUUGCCUUUUAGACUGCAUCGCUUGAAUCAUGGAGAGGACAGUGGAAUUCCGAGUGUAGAGGUGAAAUUCGUAGAUAUUCGGAAGAACACCAGUGGCGAAGGCGGCUGACUGGACAUGUAUUGACGCUGAGGUGCGAAAGCGUGGGGAGCAAAC
rnacentral:rRNA from 1 species